rnacentral:rRNA from 1 species
UACGUAGGGUGCAAGCGUUAUCCGGAAUUACUGGCGUAAAGCGCACGUAGGUGGCUGGGUAAGUUGGAUGUGAAUCCCGGCUUAACUUGGAAUUGCAUUCAAGACUGCCUUGCUAGAGUGUGGAAGAGGAAGCGGAAUUCCAGGUGUAGCGGUGAAUGCGUAGAUAUCUGGAGGAACAUCAGUGGCGAAGGCGGCUUCCUGGUCCAACACUGACACUGAGGUGCGAAAGCGUGGGAGCAAACAGG